GAUGAACGCUGGCGGCGUGCCUAAUACAUGCAAGUCGAGCGAACGGACGAUAAUCUUGCUUCUCUGAUGUUAGCGGCGCACGUGUGAGUCACACGUGUAUAACCUACCUAUAAUACUGGUAUAUCUUCGGGAAACCGGAUCUAAUACCGUAUAAUCUUUUGAACCGCAUUGUUCAAAAGUGAAAUACGGUCUUUCUGUCUCUUCUAGAUGGUUCCGCGCUGCAUUAGCUAGUUGUUAAGGUAACGGCUUACCAAGGCAACGAUGCAUAGCCGACCUGAGAGGGGGAUAGGCCACACGAGAACGGAGACACGGUCCAGAGUCCUACGAGAGGGAGCAGUAGGGAAUGUUACGCAGUGGGGGAAAGCCUGACGGAGCAAGGGCGCGUGAGAGAUGAAGGUGUUCGGAUCGUAAAACCCUGUUAUGAGGGAAGAACAGAUGUGUAAGUAAAUGUGCAGAUAUUGACGGUAACUAAUAAGAAAGCAACGGCUAACUACGUG
rnacentral:rRNA from 1 species